rnacentral:rRNA from 1 species
UUCUAUUAUAUUAUUUAAUAGUAAAAUCUGCUCAAUGAAUAUUAAAUAGCCGCAAUUUGUGCUAAGGUAGCGUAAUAAUUUGUUUUUUAAUUGAAGACUAGAAUGAAAGAUUUAACUUUUUAAUUAAUUUAUUUUAAAAAAUUUUUUUAAAUUUUUUUAAAUGUAAAAAAACAUUUAUUCUUAAAAAAGACGAUAAGACCCUAUCGAAUUUUACUUAAGUUUAACUGGGGUAGUUAAUUAAUUUAAAUUUUAAAUUUUAAAAAAAUUUAAAAGAUCUAAUUUAAUUAAUUGGAUGAUUAAAUUACCGUAGGGAUAACAGCAUAAUAAAAUUUUAAAGAAUUUAUUUAAAAUAAAGAUUAUGACCUCGAUGUUGAUUAAUUAUCCAAAUUUUCACAAUAGAAGACUAAUGGAAGUCUGUUCGACUUUAAAAAAAUUACA